rnacentral:lncRNA from 1 species
CUUUUCCAGCAGCAUCAAGCUGCUGUUUGUGCAGCAAGUCACACAAACUCACAUCCUGUGAAGUUUGAGGUUGGAUAGAGAAUCAAUAAGUACCAAAUAACAUCUUAUUUAUUCUGUAUCCGGUGUCUCUGCAGGAGCAGUUCAUGUUUGAACCGGUCCGGUUCAUUUAAAGAACCAGCUGAUGGGAUCCUUCACAUGGCGUCUGCUCUACAGUUGUUUGUCGUCUCUUGGUGUUUGUUGGUCUUCUUCUCUCAGAUGUCUGCAUGUGAAGACCGGGUGAAAGUGAAACCUGGAGACGACAUCGUCCUUCAGUGUCAGGUUCCCAGAGAAGCUAUUAUUGGACUGUUGGACUGGAUCAAACCAGACUUGAAGUCAGAUGGUGAUGUUUUCUUCUACCGUAACAAUCUUAUGAACGCUACCAACAUCAAGCAUUUCAUGGUCGAGUAAAGCUGAAAGAUCCAGAGAUGAAGAGCAGAGACAUUUCUGUGAUUCUGAAGAACGUCACCAUCAGUAAUACUGAAACAGACGAGUGUCACGUUGGAGAUGGAGGAACAUCUCAGCUCAUCAACACCAUCCACCUGACAUUUGAACCAGGUGUGUGUGUGUGUGUGUGUGUGUGUGUGUGUGUGUGUGUGUGUGUGUGUGUGUGUGUGUGUGUGUGUGGAUCAGAGUUGAAGCUGCUUCCUGGUUGUUGAUGUGAGAGUGAAACAUCACAGAUCAGAUGUUGGUGUUGAUGAGACUUUGUAGAAAACAGCUGGUAUGAGUGAUGGGAUCAAAGUGCAGUAGAUAAUGUCUGACAGGAGUUUGAAGAGGAAAUGGAUUCUGAUGCUGAAUGUUUUAUAUUUAAACUUUUGUAAUGUGGAGAUUUUUACAGAAACAUUUUGUCAUUUUGCUUUUGUGGUUUUUAAAACACUUUAUUUCUCCAUAAUAAGCUUUUAUAUGUAUUUUAUUAACUAUUUUUAUGUCUUAACAUGUUUCCUUUUUAAAUAAAUUAUUUAUUACUAACAGCAGCUUGUUGAUCUUUGUUCAUAAAUAUUGUUUGUUCAAAGGUGAGUUUACUGAGUCUUGUGUUGAUGUGAAAAACUGUUAAUAAGUUCAACAAAUAUCAUGAAUCCAAAGUAACAAAGUUUGUUUGUGU